GAUUUCUGGUAAUGUGGGUACGGUCCGAGCCUUCUGGGUUUCGUGUAUCGUAUUGACUUGCCAUCCUUCCAGGUACUGACUGUGCCGUUAAAAGUGCAGCCACAUCUGGAUCUUUUACUUUGAAAAAAUUAGAGUGUUUAAAGCAGGCUUACGCUAUGAAUACAUUAGCAUGGAAUAAUGAUUUAGGACUUUUGUCCUUUUGUUGGUUUUCUAGGAUGAAAGUAAUGAUUGAUAGGGAUAGUUGGGGGUGCUAGUAUUUCGUCAACAGAGGUGAAAUUCUUGGACCGACGAAAGACUAACUUAUGCGAAAGCAUU
rnacentral:rRNA from 1 species